rnacentral:rRNA from 1 species
CACGUAGGGCGCAAGCGUUGUCCGGAAUUAUUGGGCGUAAAGAGCUCGUAGGUGGUUUGUUACGUCCGCUGUGAAAUCCUAGGGCUUAACCCUGGGCUUGCAGUGGAUACGGGCAGACUAGAGGUAGGUAGGGAGAAGUGGAAUUCCUGGUGUAGCGGUGAAAUGCGUAGAUAUCUGGAGGAACACCGGUGGCGAAGGCGGCAUCCUGGACCGGCAUUGACGCUGAUGAGCGAAAGCCAGGGGAGCAAACGGGG